CACGGGGGGAGCAAGCGUUGUUCGGAAUCACUGGGCGUAAAGGGUGCGUAGGUGGACCAGCAAGUGCUUUGUGAAAGCCCCCGGCUCAACCGGGGAACAGCGGGGCAUACUGCUGGUCUUGAGGAAGGUAGGGGCCGCGAGAACUGUAGGUGGAGCGGUGAAAUGCGUAGAUAUCUACAGGAAUGCCGAUGGUGAAGACGCGCGGCUGGGCCUUUCCUGACACUGAGGCACGAAAGCGUGGGGAGCAAACAGG
rnacentral:rRNA from 1 species